GGGUGGGAGGGCAAUUGGGCUGCAAUAUGUCACCCUUUUAAUCACCAGGGUUGAUUCAGCUGAACUGGCUGGCUAGGCAAGUGUCCCCAUCCUCCCUCAUUGCUCCAUGUGCAUCCCUUCUGAAGCUGCACACUAGGUCAAAGGGGACCUGGUACAAGAAGACUGUUCUUCAAUCAAGGUUAUAUGAGUAGCUGCACUCCUCUGCUAGAACUUCCAAACAAGCUCUUAAGCAUGCAAAACCCUAGGCUGUCCCCAAACCUACUGACUCAGAAACUCUGAAGGUAGAGUCCUAUAUCUGUAUUUUCACAAGC
rnacentral:snRNA from 1 species